GUCGAACGGCAGCACGGGAGCAAUCCUGGUGGCGAGUGGCGAACGGGUGAGUAAUACAUCGGAACGUGUCCUGUAGUGGGGGAUAGCCCGGCGAAAGCCGGAUUAAUACCGCAUACGCUCUACGGAGGAAAGGGGGGGAUCGCAAGACCUCCCGCUACAGGGGCGGCCGAUGGCAGAUUAGCUAGUUGGUGGGGUAAAGGCCUACCAAGGCGACGAUCUGUAGCUGGUCUGAGAGGACGACCAGCCACACUGGGACUGAGACACGGCCCAGACUCCUACGGGAGGCAGCAGUGGGGAAUUUUGGACAAUGGGGGAAACCCUGAUCCAGCAAUGCCGCGUGUGUGAAGAAGGCCUUCGGGUUGUAAAGCACUUUUGUCCGGAAAGAAAACCUCUGGGUUAAUACCCUGGGGGGAUGACGGUACCGGAAGAAUAAGCACCGGCUAACUACGUGCCAGCAGCCGCGGUAAUACGUAGGGUGCAAGCGUUAAUCGGAAUUACUGGGCGUAAAGCGUGCGCAGGCGGUUCGCUAAGACAGAUGUGAAAUCCCCGGGCUUAACCUGGGAACUGCAUUUGUGACUGGCGGGCUAGAGUAUGGCAGAGGGGGGUAGAAUUCCACGUGUAGCAGUGAAAUGCGUAGAGAUGUGGAGGAAUACCGAUGGCGAAGGCAGCCCCCUGGGCCAAUACUGACGCUCAUGCACGA
rnacentral:rRNA from 1 species